ACUUGCGAGUAGAUACCGACCUGUUUGCCUGCGAAUGUAUUGCAAGAUAUUAUGAUCCCGGGCAUCUUGUAAUUUGCAAGGCUAUUUGUUCUAAGAUGCUUUUGCAUCCCUACUUAUGGACCUGCUUUGUAACGGCUCACAUUGGCUAUGAUGGGCACCCGGGCUGAGAAGCUGAUCGGAAACAAGGGGACGAUCGGCCGGCCCUUACUCCUUCAGCAGGCACCCUUCUACAGGAGGGGACAAUGGGGCAUCUUUCGGAUCGAGCAGUUCUCUGAGCGAGAUACGCCGCUUGAGAGUGGAAGGUUCUUUCAUCCCAAAACUCUGUUGUGAAGAAGAACGGGAGAGAUAGGGGAAAUAUCUACCUGUGACCGUAUCUUACCAAUACUUAUGUCAGAACUACUUGCCGGAUUUAUUGGCCAUAAAUAACUUCUAAGUGGUGAUAUGAGUUAAUGGUUAAAUUGCAGGGCUCGCCUCUGUAUUGCUCUGAAUACAGUGGAUGUGGCUUACUGAAUAAGGCAUCGGAACCUGUCUUGCUGGAGUGAAAUUGGAGAGAGAUUGUACCAUGUCCGACGGGGAAGCGAGCUUACUGGAGAGAUACUCAUGUUGAAACGCGGGAUCUGCUGUCUGUAACUGAAGUAUAUACUCUGAUCACGGGCGCUUUACACGAUUAUAACUAUAGGUAGUGGCUCCAAACUCUACGACCGCUAAGA
rnacentral:rRNA from 1 species